UACGGAGGGGGCUAGCGUUGUUCGGAAUUACUGGGCGUAAAGCGCACGUAGGCGGCUUUGUAAGUUAGAGGUGAAAGCCCGGGGCUCAACUCCGGAAUUGCCUUUAAGACUGCAUCGCUAGAAUUGUGGAGAGGUAAGUGGAAUUCCGAGUGUAGAGGUGAAAUUCGUAGAUAUUCGCAAGAACACCAGUGGCGAAGGCGGCUCACUGGCCCGAUACUGACGCUGAGGCACGAAAGCGUGGGGAGCAAACAGG
rnacentral:rRNA from 1 species